rnacentral:rRNA from 1 species
GAUGAACGCUGGCGGCGUGCCUAAUACAUGCAAGUCGAGCGAACAGAUGAGGAGCUUGCUCCUCUGACGUUAGCGGCGGACGGGUGAGUAACACGUGGAUAACCUACCUAUAAGACUGGGAUAACUUCGGGAAACCGGAGCUAAUACCGGAGAAUAUAUUGAACCGCAUGGUUCAAUAGUGAAAGACGGUUUUGCUGUCACUUAUAGAUGGAUCCGCGCCGCAUUAGCUAGUUGGUAAGGUAACGGCUUACCAAGGCAACGAUGCGUAGCCGACCUGAGAGGGUGAUCGGCCACACUGGAACUGAGACACGGUCCAGACUCCUACGGGAGGCCGCAGUAGGGAAUCUUCCGCAAUGGGCGAAAGCCUGACGGAGCAACGCCGCGUGAGUGAUGAAGGUCUUCGGAUCGUAAAACUCUGUUAUUAGGGAAGAACAAAUGUGUAAGUAACUAUGCACGUCUUGACGGUACCUAAUCAGAAAGCCCCGGCUAACUACGUG